AUUGAACGCUGGCGGCAGGCCUAACACAUGCAAGUCGAGCGGUAACAGGAAGCAGCUUGCUGCUUUGCUUACGAGUGGCGGGCGGGUGAGAAAUGUCUAGGACACUCCCUGAUGGAUGGGGUAAACUACUGGAAACGGUACCUAAUACGGCAUAACUUUUCAAGCCCAAAGAGGAGGACCUUAGGGCCUCUUGCCAUCGGCUGUUCCCUGGUGGGAUUAGCUAGUAGGUGGGGUAACGGCUUACCUAGGCGACGAUCCCUAGCUGGUCUGAGAGGAUGAUCGGCCACACUGGAACUGAGACACGGUCCAGACUCCUACGGGAGGCAGCAGUAGGGAAUCUUGCGCAAUGGGCGAAAGCCUGAUGGAGCAACGCCGCGUGUGUGAAGAAGGUCUUCGGGUUGUAAAGCACUUUCAGUGGGGAGGAAGGGAGGAGUGUUAAACCAUGCACUUAUUGACGGUACCCGAAGAAAAAGCACCGGCUAACUACGUG
rnacentral:rRNA from 1 species